rnacentral:rRNA from 1 species
GACAGAGGGUGCAAACGUUGUUCGGAAUUACUGGGCGUAAAGCGCGUGUAGGCGGCCCUGUAAGUCGGGUGUGAAAUCCCACGGCUCAACCGUGGAAGUGCAUUCGAAACUACAGGGCUAGAGUUCUGGAGAGGAAGGUGGAAUGCCUGGUGUAGAGGUGAAAUUCGUAGAUAUCGAGAGGAACACCGGUGGCGAAGGCGGCCUUCUGGACAGUGACUGACGCUGAGACGCGAAAGCGUGGGGAGCAAACAGG